GCGGCUCUGGCAACACGCGACGCGAUGAUCUCGCCCCUCCUUUCUCCCAUUUCCACUCCACCUCCGAGAACCUAGCCCCGCCGCAGUCGCAUUCAUCUGCCGCCGAUGCCGCCGCCGGUCCGUCGCCUCACAGGACUCCCGUCCAUACGCAAUUUCAUCUAGGGUUUCAGCAUGGUUGAGCAUAUCCAAAACUAUGAUGUGCUGGAGAAGUGUACAAAAGAUAUACUCUCCAUAAUCAAGCCAACAGAGGACGAUCAGAACAAACGACUGAACGCAAUUCAGGAGAUUGUGGAUUCCAUCUAUUUAGUUGGUCGCUUGGGAGAUGCUGCUGUCAAACCUUUUGGAUCCUUUUUAUCAAAACUUUACGCAAAAUCAGGUGAUUUGGAUGUAUCAGUUGAGCUACCAAAUGUCUCAGGCUUCCCUACAAGCAAGGAAAAGAAGCAAAGUCUCUUGGGAGAACUACAUACGGAUGUAUAUAGACCUGUUUUAGAGUGUCAGUUUAUUUUGCUCCGUAUGUAUUCUAUAUUGGAAUCUCUAAAAGGAAUUAUAUUUAGGAACAGAGGGAGUACUAUGUAGUCAUGCAGUCAUGCUUUUUCUUUGUAGCACCAUGUACUAAGCUUUGGAACUUACAGAUUGUUACCGAGGUACCGGAAGACAUGAAUAUAUGCAUCUUUCUGAAA